GAUGAACGCUGGCGGCGUGCUUAACACAUGCAAGUCGAACGGAACUACUCCAAUGAGAGUCUUCGGAAAGGAUUUGGUUUAGUUUAGUGGCGGACGGGUGAGUAACGCGUGGGUAACCUGCCCUAUACAGGGGGAUAACAGUUGGAAACGACUGUUAAUACCGCAUAAGCGCACAGGAGCGCAUGCUCCGGUGUGAAAAACUCCGGUGGUAUAGGAUGGACCCGCGUCUGAUUAGCUGGUUGGCGGGGUAACGGCCCACCAAGGCGACGAUCAGUAGCCGGCCUGAGAGGGUGAACGGCCACACUGGGACUGAGACACGGCCCAAACUCCUACGGGAGGCAGCAGUGGGGAAUAUUGCACAAUGGGGGAAACCCUGAUGCAGCGACGCCGCGUGAGCGAAGAAGUAUCUCGGUAUGUAAAGCUCUAUCAGCAGGGAAGAAAAUGACGGUACCUGAAGAAGAAGCCCCGGCUAACUACGUG
rnacentral:rRNA from 1 species